CCUACGGGGGGCAGCAGUGGGGGAUAUUGCACAAUGGGGGAAACCCUGAUGCAGCGACGCCGCGUGUGGGAAGACGGUCUUCUGGAUUGUAAACCACUGUCCCCAGGGACGAAAAUGACGGUACCUGGGGAGGAAGCUCCGGCUAACUACGUGCCAGCAGCCGCGGUAAUACGUAGGGAGCAAGCGUUGUCCGGAAUUACUGGGUGUAAAGGGAGCGUAGGCGGGGAUGCAAGUUGGGUGUCAAAACUACCGGCUCAACCGAUAGUCGCACUCAAAACUGCAACUCUUGAGUGAAGUAGAGGCAGGCGGAAUUCCUAGUGGAGCGGUGAAAUGCGUAGAUAUUAGGAGGAACACCAGUGGCGAAGGCGGCCUGCUGGGCUUUUACUGACGCUGAGGCUCGAAAGUGUGGGGAGCAAACAGGAUUAGAUACCCGUGUAGUC
rnacentral:rRNA from 1 species